rnacentral:rRNA from 1 species
AUUGAACGCUGGCGGCAUGCCUUACACAUGCAAGUCGAACGGUAACAGGUCUUCGGAUGCUGACGAGUGGCGAACGGGUGAGUAAUACAUCGGAACGUGCCUAGUAGUGGGGGAUAACUACUCGAAAGAGUGGCUAAUACCGCAUGAGAUCUACGGAUGAAAGCAGGGGAUCGCAAGACCUUGUGCUACUAGAGCGGCCGAUGGCAGAUUAGGUAGUUGGUGGGAUAAAAGCUUACCAAGCCGAUGAUCUGUAGCUGGUCUGAGAGGACGAUCAGCCACACUGGGAGUGAGACACGGCCCAGACUCCUACGUGAGGCAGCAGUGGGGAAUUUUGGACAAUGGGCGAAAGCCUGAUCCAGCAAUGCCGCGUGCAGGAUGAAGGCCUUCGGGUUGUAAACUGCUUUUGUACGGAACGAAAAGCCCCGGGUUAAUACCCUGGGGUCAUGACGGUACCGUAAGAAUAAGCACCGGCUAACUACGUGCCAGCCGCCGCGGUAA